UACGUAGGGUGCAAGCGUUAAUCGGAAUUACUGGGCGUAAAGCGUGCGCAGGCGGUUCUAUAAGACAGGUGUGAAAUCCCCGGGCUCAACCUGGGAACUGCACUUGUGACUGUAGAGCUAGAGUACGGUAGAGGGGGAUGGAAUUCCGCGUGUAGCAGUGAAAUGCGUAGAUAUGCGGAGGAACACCGAUGGCGAAGGCAAUCCCCUGGACCUGUACUGACGCUCAUGCACGAAAGCGUGGGGAGCAAACAGG
rnacentral:rRNA from 1 species